rnacentral:rRNA from 1 species
GAUCAGCCGUACUCCGAAUGCAUCUAGAUUAAAGUUUGAUCAUGGCUCAGACUUGAACGCUGGCGGCAGGCCUAACACAUGCAAGUCGAACGGUAACAGGAAGCAGCUUGCUGCUUCGCUGACGAGUGGCGGACGGGUGAGUAAUGUCUGGGAAACUGCCUGAUGGAGGGGGAUAACUACUGGAAACGGUAGCUAAUACCGCAUAACGUCGCAAGACCAAAGAGGGGGACCUUCGGGCCUCUUGCCAUCGGAUGUGCCCAGAUGGGAUUAGCUAGUAGGUGGGGUAACGGCUCACCUAGGCGACGAUCCCUAGCUGGUCUGAGAGGAUGACCAGCCACACUGGAACUGAGACACGGUCCAGACUCCUACGGGAGGCAGCAGUGGGGAAUAUUGCACAAUGGGCGCAAGCCUGAUGCAGCCAUGCCGCGUGUAUGAAGAAGGCCUUCGGGUUGUAAAGUACUUUCAGCGGGGAGGAAGGCGAUAAGGUUAAUAACCUUGUCGAUUGACGUUACCCGCAGAAGAAGCACCGGCUAACUCCGUGCCAGCAGCCGCGGUAAUACGGAGGGUGCAAGCGUUAAUCGGAAUUACUGGGCGUAAAGCGCACGCAGGCGGUCUGUCAAGUCGGAUGUUGAAAUCCCCGGGGGCUCAAACUUGGUGGAGCUGCUUCGAAAACUUGGGCAGGCUUAGAAGUCUUGUAGGAAGGGGGGUAGAACUCCCACGUGUAACGGGUGAAAAACCUUAAAAAUCUCUGGAGAGNAAUACCCGGGGUGGGAAAGGCGGCCCUGGACAAAAGAAUNNACGGCCUCAGUGUGA